UCCGUAGGCGGGUAAUUAAGCCAGAGGUGAAAUCCCACAGCUUAACUGUGGAACUGCCUUAGAUACUGGUUAUCUUGAGUUUUAGUGAAGUAGAUAGAAUGUGUAGUGUAGCGGUGAAAUGCAUAGAUAUUACACAGAAUACCGAUUGCGAAGGCAGUCUACUAACUAACAACUGACGCUAAUGGACGAAAGCGUGGGGAGCGAACAGGAUUAGAUACCCUGGUAGUCC
rnacentral:rRNA from 1 species